CGCAUAGGGCGGGGGCUCCG
rnacentral:misc_RNA from 1 species